AUGUACAUUUAUUCCCAAUCAUGCAAAAAAUUAGGAAAGACGGUUUCCUUAUUAGCGCAAUUAGGCAACACCAAAAUUCYGCGCGCGCCGUUAGGUAAGGAAAUAACUCGAGCGCGGGACGGAUGUGUCAAAGACGCCCGGUGGAGCAAGCCACUGAGAAACCGUGCGGGAAAGACGAAGCCUGAUGAUGGGAUGGACCGGAUCAGCCGCGGCCYGCGAGCCUCCRACCAGCAAGGCGGAGAACGCAGCAGGGAAAGGGGAAAACCAGCCCCACGCGGCGACUUUUCGGGAAGGUUCGUAUCGYGCCGACGGCUUCUCUUCCCUUUCUCUGCGUUUAGCCGGUUUAACGGUCCAGAGGGAUUUCCGGGAAGAAGGGGAGAUGGCGUUUCCUCGCCGCCACGCGUCAAGACGGUCAACAUGGAGAGACUCAAAUUCACGCGGGCUGAGCUUCGCCGCAUCCAUGCGCUCCCAUUACGCAAAUAUUCCAGCUUUUCCCCCCCCCAGGGAAGAACUGCCAAGCUGCACCGGGGCCCAUGUCCUCCAGAGUCGGCCAUGGCAGCUCUCGAUCCGGGAAGGGACGGGGCUGCAAUGCAGCACAGGAGCCGGCAGAGGGUAGUGCCAGGCCAGGCGGAGGGAGGAAUCGAACGCCUUCGGAAGAGCAUCGCCUUCGGAAGAGCGUUGCCAUCUAGAGGGAGGCCGAACCGGGGUGGGGAAAGGGGACCGGGGAAAGAUGGUUACUGGGCAAAAAAAAGCAGAGAAACUCUGGAAAUUUUACGUUCUCAACGCGACGAAGGGGAAAACGGCCACGGGUCGGGAGGACGAGGUCAGUUCUGGAGGACGUUGAAGAUGGGGACCAGCCACAGGACCCCAAGGAGCCACAAAAGAAYGAAUUCGACAGCUUUGCUCGGAGAGAGGCAGCAGCUAAGGCCGAAAGAAGAGAAGMACCGGGAGAAACACGGGCUGUUUGGAGAGAAAAACGAAGCCUUGGAAGCGCUGCCGAAAACCCAACCCACCAGAGCAGCGAUGAGGAAGGCUGAGGAUGGGCRUCAGCAGGACAGAAGAAGCCGAGAUGUUUAA
rnacentral:lncRNA from 1 species